GAUGAACGCUGGCGGCGUGCCUAAUACAUGCAAGUCGAGCGAACGGACGAGAAGCUUGCUUCUCUGAUGUUAGCGGCGGACGGGUGAGUAACACGUGGAUAACCUACCUAUAAGACUGGGAUAACUUCGGGAAACCGGAGCUAAUACCGGAUAAUAUUUUGAACCGCAUGGUUCAAAAGUGAAAGACGGUCUUGCUGUCACUUAUAGAUGGAUCCGCGCUGCAUUAGCUAGUUGGUAAGGUAACGGCUUACCAAGGCAACGAUGCAUAGCCGACCUGAGAGGGUGAUCGGCCACACUGGAACUGAGACACGGUCCAGAAUCCUACGGGAGGCAGCAGUAGGGAAUCUUCCGCAAUGGGCGAAAGCCUGACGGAGCAACGCCGCGUGAGUGAUGAAGGUCUUCGGAUCGUAAAACUCUGUGAUUAGGGAAGAACAUAUGUGUAAGUAACUGUGCACAUCUUGACGGUACCUAAUCAGAAAGCCACGGCGAACUACGU
rnacentral:rRNA from 1 species